AUUUAGUGAUACUCGGAAAUAGCAAACAAAAAUUCAAAAAGAGAAUAUACAUUGUUGGCAAGUAAAACCCAAUGAAAUCUAAAAUUCGACAUGUUUCCGUCUCGCUACUCGCCAGCCCCUGCAAAUACCCAACUGAUGAUUUAACCAUGUAGCGUUGUCCUUACCUAGGACACAAUAUCUAAGCCCUCAUCAAAGCCGGAAUCCACCGGUGACUUUACACAAAUAAGCUCCAGCAAGAUUAUUUCAUAGUUAAUUACAAUAUCUAUCAAUUUCAUACGAGUAUGCAGUCUCUAAGAUGGGCAAGUAAUACAACUUUAUGAACCAAGUCAUCAAAAAACCGAUUGAACCUCCGCUGCUGCCUCCAAAGAUUCCGGCAGAGAACAGCUGGAUUGAACAUCCCAGGUCGUCUCUCUCGCCAACCACAAAUCUUCCGCUAGGCCGCCAGCGACGCCAUCGCCGCCACCUACCUCGCCUCUCUGAC
rnacentral:lncRNA from 1 species